AGAAUCAACGCUGGCGGCGUGCCUAACACAUGCAAGUCGCACGAGAAAGGGGCUUCGGCUCUGAGUAAAGUGGCGCACGGGUGAGUAACACGUGACUAAUCUACCCUCGAGUGGGGAAUAACCUAGAGAAAUCUGGGCUAAUACCGCAUAACACUUACGAGUCAAAGCAGCAAUGCGCUUGGGGAGGAGGUCGCGGCCGAUUAGCUAGUUGGCGGGGUAAUGGCCCACCAAGGCGAUGAUCGGUAUCCGGCCUGAGAGGGCGCACGGACACACUGGAACUGAAACACGGUCCAGACUCCUACGGGAGGCAGCAGUGGGGAAUUUUGCGCAAUGGGGGAAACCCUGACGCAGCAACGCCGCGUGGAGGAUGAAUAUCUUGGUAUGUAAACUCCUUUCGAUGGGGAAGAUUAUGACGGUACCCAUAGAAGAAGCCCCGGCUAACUUCGCGCCAGCAGCCGC
rnacentral:rRNA from 1 species